UUUUAAAAAUAUUGCGAUUUUUACGUUUUUUUAGGGCAUAUAAGCGCAGCCAAACAUGGGGCUGUAUUUAUCAGUAUUUAUAUAUACAGAAGAUGUAAACAAGUACUUUUCAUUAGCUGACAAGCUUGAAUUUUACGUUGUCAUAUUAUUAAUUAAAACAAUAUUUGAAUAAUAUUUUUACUUAAUUAAAAUUACCUAUUAUUUGCUACUUAAUAAUUAGUAAUUGGUUUUGUUCAUUCAACUUGCUGCAAAUAACCAUCAUCCAUUGUUGUUAAUAUUAUGUUAUUAUCAGUAUUUUUUUAUUUUUUCAAUUGUCAUGGCGAAUCAAGAUCAAAAAUUGGUUGCUCAAGUGACAGAUGGUCCAACAAUCAAAUCUAAAACUAUACUGCUCUAAUAUAUUUUAGAUGACAAUGAAAAUUACAUGAUGAUGGUACUCAAUCUUGGUUUUACAAACAUCUUAAGUCAGAGCUUAGAAAUGUACCGAAUGAUACUCGUGAUACUUUAUAAUGCUUUGAAUUAUAUUGCACUUGUUUAUUUAGUACAAUGAUAAUAAAGAAAAUUUUUACUAUUAUUAUAUAA